AACCAGCCUCCGCAAUGAGCCCCCGCGUCCCGCGACGGCGACGAAGAGCUGCGCCCGCGACCCUUCGAGAUCCAGCAACGGCGAGCCCUGGCCGGCUGUCCGCCCGAGGAGUGGAACUGUGGAAGACGCGCAUGCCUGAUGUCUUGGCGCGCGACAACGGCGUUGCGUCCACCGCGGCGGCCGGAUGGUUAGGGGCGCGGCAGCAGCAGCACCUCCUCUGCCGACCAGAUGCCUUCAUGGAGGACAACAAGCUCAAGCAGUGGUAGUGCUAGUAUAGGAUCUGCAUCCUCAACACCUACUGAUAUUAGAGCUCCCCUGUGGGAUCAUGUCACAAUAUUGGAAAAGGCAAAAUCAGGUGGAGGCAAUACUUUAUGGAAAUGCAAUUAGUCAAUUACUGUCCAAUGAGCAAAGCCACUAGCUAUACUAGAGUUGAGGCUCA